UGGGGAAUAUUGCACAAUGGACGGAAGUUUGAUGCAGCGACGCCGCGUGGAGGGCGUAGGCCUUCGGGUUGUGAACUCCUUUUUCUCGCGAAAAAGGCACAGUUUUGGCUGUGUUGAUGGUAGUGGGGGAAGAAGCGCCGGCUAACUACGUGCCAGCAGCCGCGGUAAUACGUAGGGCGCGAGCGUUGUCCGGAUUUAUUGGGCGUAAAGAGCUCGUAGGUGGUUCGUCGCGUCUGUCGUGAAAGCCAGCAGCUUAACUGUUGGUCUGCGGUGGGUACGGGGGGGGUUGAGGGCGGUAGGGGUGACUGGAAUUCCUGGUGUAGCGGUGGAAUGCGCCGAUAUCAGGGGGAACACCGAUGGCGAAGGGAGGUCACUGGGCCGUUACUGACCCCGGGGAGCGAAAGCGUGGGGAGCGAACAGG
rnacentral:rRNA from 1 species